rnacentral:lncRNA from 1 species
CUCAAGUCUUGUAUGGGACUCAAGAUUGGAGACACGGUGAGGUGGGCUGGGCAGGGCCUUUGUCCUGGAGCAUCUGUGGGCACCCAACCCCCUUUCUUCCUUUUGUAGUGACUAAAAAUGGCCCCCUUCCACCAGAAAAAAAAUAUGGGCAAGAAAAAUACGUUUCCUGAAAGUCAUUCUAAGUUAGAUGUAAUGGAUCCACCAAUCUUUUCCUCUGAGGCUUCUGUUGCGUAAGCCAUUUCUGUUACGUGAACUUCACUCUCAGGAAUUUGAAAAACUUACAAUUUGGUUACCUUUGUUUGUGUAUGCACAGUUGAUUGCAAAGGAAAAUAUUUCUUUACCUUCAGUCCCUCACCAGUCGCCAGCCUUUCCAAGGUGAGCUUCAGCAUUGAGGCCAAGGUGCGAGGC